GUGAAUCAUCGAAUUUUUGAACGCAAAUUGCACUCUCCUCGGAUAGUAUGCCUGUUUGAGGGUCAGCCUAUGAAAAAUCAACGUCGUUGCUGGUUCGCGGUGGCGGUCGUCGGGAAUUGGGUCAUCUUAAAUCUUUUUUUUUUAAGCGACUUAAAAUUUUCUUUUUGGUUCCAUGGACGGUUCUAAGAUGUAUUUCUGUACGCUUGUGAGGUAUCGAUUUUUAUUAGACUUUACCAUCAUAUCGG
rnacentral:misc_RNA from 1 species